rnacentral:rRNA from 1 species
GUGGGGAAUAUUGGGCAAUGGGCGAAAGCCUGACCCAGCAACGCCGCGUGAAGGAAGAAGGUUUUCGGAUCGUAAACUUCUAUCCUUGGUGAAGAUAAUGACGGUAGCCAAGAAGGAAGCCCCGGCUAACUACGUGCCAGCAGCCGCGGUAAUACGUAUGGGGCAAGCGUUGUCCGGAAUGAUUGGGCGUAAAGGGCGCGUAGGGGGCCCGGUAAGUCUGAAGUGAAAGUCCUGCUUUUAAGGUGGGAAUUGCUUUGGAUACUGUCGGGCUUGAGUGCAGGAGAGGUAAGCGGAAUUCCCGGUGUAGCGGUGAAAUGCGUAGAGAUCGGGAGGAACACCAGUGGCGAAGGCGGCUUACUGGACUGUAACUGACGCUGAGGCGCGAAAGUGUGGGGAGCAAACAGGAUUAGAUACCCGUGUAGUCC